UUUGAUACAAAAAACUGAAAAUAGAAAUUUCAAGUGACCGCGCAUUCAUAAUCAUAAACACUUAAACUUUUACAAAUUUCUUUACGAAAUUUCUUUUCUUGCGGGGGCAACGAGGAGCAAAAACAAACUCAACAAUAAGACGGACAGAAAUGAAAUGUUAAAAGCGAAUUGUUCAUACAAUUAAAUGAGCCAUAUUUUUAAUUUAAUAGUAUCAAUUUACGAAUUUUUAAAUAAUAGUUUAGAGCUAUAAUUUCUCUCUUGUUAAUACUUCAUGAUUAAUACAUGAGAGAGAUUCGUUUUAUCAACAAAGUUUUUACCCGUCCAUACAUUUUUAAUCUCUAACUCUUCUUUUGUUUCUAAACUCAGAAUAAAUAUGUUUAAACUAUUGUGUCCCCAAACGAUGAAAUUUAUUACUUGCGUAUAUUAUUAGUUUCAAAUGUAAUUUUAAAGUAAUAUUGUUGAUCUGUAUUGUACCUUUUCAUUUUUAAGAAAAUGCAUAAUUUUUUUCCUUCUAAUUCUUGAAACUCCUACACUCUUCAAUAAGUCUGCUUAGCUUCACAAUGCUUAACAUUCUCGUUGCUUUACCUUAACUAGGAUAUGAAGCAUUUGUUUUCAACUAGUUAACCAUAAUCUGAUUAAAUAUUCCUAAGAGAUAAGAUAUAUUCUUAGGGUAUUCAAAUGUCUCUCAUCUUACUUAUCUUAUUAUGAGCAUUUCUCUCAUAAAAUGAAAAUUAUGUAAAUCCCUGAUGUGGAAAAUUGAAAUUCCUUGCACCUCUAGGCUAAGUGAAAAUAUUCUAUCUAAGAUGUUCAAAGAUACUAAAAGGAAUGUUAUUGGAUUAUCCGAUAUGCAUAUCGUUAUAAAUGUAUUUGAUUUUUAGUAAUAUUUCGAAUUUAAUUUUUUCCUAAAAGGGAAUUCUACAUAUUGAAAUGGAAUUUUAAAAAAAUUAUAAUUUUCUAUUCCGUUAUUUUAUAUGGUGCGUUGACAGGUUUUCAAAUGUCACUUGUUUUUCUUGAAAAUUUGCUUCUGAGAUUAAAGUACAGUUAGACUUCGUUUAAAAUUCACUUUUCUGGAACAACACUUUUAAAAUUAAAUGUUUAGUUUUCUACCAUUGUCAAAUCUAAGGUGUAUAUUCAUGAUUUGGUUAUGUUUUUGAUGCAGGUUAUUUUGAUAAGAAGAGUAGUAAAAAAUUCUCUUAGAGUGUCAUUUGAUCAUUUCCCAAACAUUUUGGUUGAGUAAUAUGACAAGUCGUUAGGUACUUAUCUCGUGUUUUUCUAACUUUAGUUUUCAUGAGAAGAUCAGGAAGAGAUCUUCCUAGCGUGUCAUUCGAUCAUUUCCCAACCAUCUUGGUAGUGUAACAUGGCAAGUCGUUAGACACUUAUUUUGUGUUUUCUCUACUUUAGUUUCAUAAGAAGAUCAGUGAGAGAUCUUCCUAGUGUGUCAUUUGAUUAUUUCCCAAACAUUUUGGUUGAGUAAUGUGACAAGUCGUUAGGUACUUAUUUCGUGUUUUUCUUACUUUAGUUUCCAUAAGAAGAUCAGGAGGAGAUCUUUCUAGCGUGUCAUUGGAUCAUUUCCCAACCAUCUUAGUAGUCUAACAUGGCAAGUCGUUAGACAAUUAUUUUAUGUUUUCUUUACUUUAGUUUCAUAAGAAGAUCAGCGAGAGAUCUUCCUAGUGUGUCAUUCGACUAUUUCCCAAACAUUUUGGUUGAGUAAUGUGACAAGUCGUUAGGUACUUAUUUUGUGUUUUUCUUACUUUAGUUUUC